GGUAUUUUGACCGUGCGAAGGUAGCAUAAUAAUUAGUUCUUUUAUUGGGAGCUGGAAAGAAUGAUUGGACGAGAAAGCGGCUGUCUCUACCUUAUUUGUUUUUGAAUUUUACUUUUAGGUAAAAAGGCCUAAAUUUUUAUUAAAGACGAGAAGACCCUAUAGAGUUUAAUAUUCACGGGGGUGAGAGGUUUCUGGAAUUUGUUUCUUUCAUCUUUUUGUUUGUUUGGUUGGGGUGACUAGAAAAUUGUUAAUACUCUUCUAAUGUUUUGUUACUGAUAUGUAAAUUUUUAUUCUGGAUUUUUCAAGUUUAAAUAAAAUUACCUAAGG
rnacentral:rRNA from 1 species